rnacentral:rRNA from 1 species
GAUGAACGCUAGCGGCAGGCCUAAUACAUGCAAGUCGAACGGUGUCUUCGGACAUAGUGGCGCACGGGUGCGUAACACGUAUGCAACCUACCUUACAUCGGGGGAUAGCCUUUCGAAAGGGAGAUUAAUACCGCAUAAGACAGUAGCUGGGCAUCCAGCAGCUGUUAAAGAUUUAUCGAUGUAAGCUGGGCAUGCGUCCAAUUAGCUAGUUGGUGAGGUAACGGCCCACCAAGGCAAUGAUUGGUAGGGGAACUGAGAGGUCAAUCCCCCACACAGGCACUGAGAUACGGGCCAGACUCCUACGGGAGGCAGCAGUAGGGAAUAUUGGGCAAUGAACGCAAGUCUGACCCAGCCAUGCCGCGUGCAGGAUGAAGGCGUUAUGCGUUGUAAACUGCUUUUAUACAGGAAGAAACGACUCUUGCGAGAGGCAUUGACGGUACUGUAUGAAUAAGCACCGGCUAACUCCGUGCCAGCCGCCGCAGUAACAC